rnacentral:rRNA from 1 species
UACGUAGGUGGCAAGCGUUGUCCGGAUUUACUGGGCGUAAAGAGCGCGCAGGCGGUCGUUCAAGUCGAGUGUGAAAGCCCCCGGCUCAACUGGGGAGGGUCAUUCGAUACUGAUCGACUCGAAGGCAGGAGAGGGAAGCGGAAUUCCCGGUGUAGUGGUGAAAUGCGUAGAUAUCGGGAGGAACACCAGUGGCGAAGGCGGCUUUCUGGCCUGUUCUUGACGCUGAGGCGCGAAAGCGUGGGGAGCAAACAGG